rnacentral:lncRNA from 1 species
AGCGCUCAAACUCUCUACAAUUAGAAGAAAGAGGCGGCCUCCAUGCUUAAGACUCUUUUGGAUACUAAACUUAAUUAUAUUCGAUCAAUAGAGUACAACUUGAAAAUAUAAUUUACACUAACCAAAAUGGUUAUUUAAAUAUUAACACAUUACAUUACAUGAUAAUAUAUACGCAUUACAUACUAAGGUGCACUAUAUCAGCAAACCUUAAUUAACAUAGAAGAUACCUAGUUAAUGUACAUAAAAAGAAAUAAACGAACAAAAGAAACAAAGAAAGGCACACUUCAACUUUCACAGACACACACACAUUUCCUCAUGUCUAAGCAAAGCCUAGCUCUAUGUGAGAGUUCUCUCAUAUUUAAUUAUACAUCUUACCUUUCCAUUAUUACUAUAUUUUAUCAUCCAUUCAUGUCAUUUAUACACAUCUUAUGGAAAAAAAGGAUAACUCCAAAGGUUCGGAUCAUCACAGACAUAACUUUCUGGUGUAUCAUCGUAUUCGUUACUCGCAAAGUCGAAACGAGGAGGACUAAGUAGCAUUCCUUCCGCCAUAUUAGCCAAAACAUUAGGCAUAUCAAAGAUCAAAUCCUCAUCCAUAAAUUCAUUAACAUUAUAACUAUUCUCAUUCUCACCAACUGAAAAAAAAUCUUGUUGAGUCGCCAUUGCUGCAUGGUUCCUAUCAUUUCCAUCAUUAAUAUUCACAAGUGCAUCCUCUGCUGCGCCUAUGGCGGCUGCAGCACUAGCUGCAGCCGUCUGAAUAUCGCGGGCAGAGGAAGAAGCAGGAACAGGUAAAGAAGAGGAAGAGUUAGGGAAAAGCGGCUGCAGCACUAGCUGCAGCCGUCUGAAUAUCGCGGGCAGAGGAAGAAGCAGGAACAGGUAAAGAAGAGGAAGAGUUAGGGAAAUUCAGUUCUGCAUUUUUACCCUUAAGAGCAAGAGCAGCUACAUCAUAAGCAAUAGCUGCCAUCUCAGGUGUUGGAAAUGUUCCUAACCAAAUCCUGUUAGGUUUUUUCGGUUCACGAAUUUCAGACACCCAUUUUCCGUUAUUUCUACGCCUCACUCCACGGUACACCGGAUGACGGCCGGUCGAAGCUUUGCCCGACGACGACGAUGCAUGAGUAGUCGUGUUUUCAGGCAUGGUGAUGUUGUUGUGUAUGUAUUUUUAGUAAAGAGAAUCAGUGACAGUUGGUAGUUGAAGAAAACGGUUGAAGCCAUCUAUUUAUAUGUCGAUGAUUUUGGAUAUUUUUGAGGGGGGAAAUAUGAUAGCUGGAGAAGGAUUUGAAAGCUGAGAGAUGAAAGUGCAAACCAGUUAUGGUGUGUGAAGGAUUUAGGGUGUAGACAGCUUGGUAUGUUUGAUAUCUGGGUUGGAGCCGCGUUUUGUAAUUCACAAGAUCGAAAAUAGAAAAGGAAAAUUUUGUUCUAUCAAUAGUGAUAUUGCACUUUGUUUUUGUUGUGCACUGAUAUAUAUACACUAUCACUAACACUGAUAACACUCCAUUUUGUUUUUUCUUUUCUCUUAUAUUCUUUUUAUGAUUAUUAUGGAAAAACGUAGAUUAAACGUGGAAAACUACUAGUGGCAAAAUUUCAUCAAAUGAUGUUUUUUUAUUUUUUAUUUUGUUCUAAUUAGGUAGGGUUUUGUGCUUGUUGUUGGUGAUGUAGCAACUGAUGUUGAUUCUGAGGACUAUACGUAGUUUCACUUCGUAAGCAUAAGUGGGCAACUCAUAGCUUUUUAGUUUCUAAAUCAUAUUAUACUAUUUUUUUUAUUACUACAAAGAGGGCUUAAAGUUCAAGAAGAGAAAGAAACUACACUACACCAUUUCUAGGACUUCAAUUAUAUUAUAUUAUGUUAUAUAGUAUAUACCGUAUAAAUAUAUGUUCGACGGUACACAUUUUUUAUAUGUUUUUUAUUUAAAAAAUAAUUCUUUUAAAUAUGGAGACAUAUUUUUAUAACACAAAUAUAUAAUUAGUUAAUAGCAAACCAGAAUAAUAAUUUUAUAAUUGAAAAGGAAACAAAGAUCACCAACAUUGCUCAAGAACAACAUACCUGACCAAUGUUGAGGUAAAGAAAAAAAAUACUAGAGUUAAUCAAUUAAAAUAAAACGAAAAGAACAAAAUCAGACAAACUAAUCAAUAUAGUGAUCUACUCUGAAGUCACAAGUGCAUUGAAUCUCUGGAGAAAGCAAGUUAGAGGGAGGUAGACACAACCACACGCACAAACAAAAUGAGAAAAACUUGUCACCCAUAGCACUCCUAAAUACCUAACCACUCGAGCGAGUUAGGCUCUCAGUCUAACAAUGAAAAGAACAAACUUGGAACAUGAACAUAGACCUACAUCCACACCAGGAUGCUACACGUAGAUAUCCAGUGAUUUUCCGAUAAGCUUUCCCCCAAAAAAAAGUUUUUUAAUGCAUUUUUCAACUAGUCUAGACCAUAUGAUGACAAAUCGAAACCAAAACUAAAGACUCCUUUUUUCCCUGACUUAGACCUUGAAACAUCUCAAAUACCAUACUAUGAGAUAAACACCUCUCCUCCAAUGAGACACCCUACUAAUACUCCCUACCAUAUAAGAUAGAGAUAGCGGUAAAUUCAUGAUCAUCAAGCUAUGGAUAAGAUAGAGAUCAAAUAACAAGAGUCGCCACCGCACUUUUAUUGUUUCCAACGGAAAAGGGAAAAAGUAUGAACAAAACCCAAUAGUAAGAAGUUUUCGAAUAAAAACUAAUAAAAUGUCAGAGAUCACAGGUAAGGGGGUUGGUUACACAGAGGGAAGGUGUUAGCACCCAAAGUGUCCUAGGUACUCCUAGGGAGCCCUUUUUGUGUGCCCAUGUAUUUGGUACAAAAUGAUGUUUACAAACAAAUAGAAUGGGGGGAUGAGAAAAGAAUUCAUUAAUUAUAUUUUUGUGUUUGGAAAGACCUUUGGUCUUAUGCCUACGUACCAACAUAAAAAUGAGGGAUCAAAACCUCGUAGUUCGUGAUACAAAUUUCAAAGUAGAUGCAUUGCUUUUAAAAGAAAUUAAGUUUGAAAGGCACAAAGGCCUAAAAAUGGUUUGAAUGAGUUAGUUCUUUUUGGCUUUUUGAAAGUUUAAGUCAAGUAUUGUUAAGUUUAUUUACAAAUUUGAUUUAAGAAAAGAAGUUUGAAAAUGCAAUGACAUAAGGCCAAAGUUUCUAUCUUUUUUGCAAAUUGGUCAAAGUUUGGAACAAAAUAAGUUUAAUCAAAGAAGAUUUUCAAAAGGGAGGGAGAGAUUUUGAAAUUAAAGAAAUGGGGAGAAGAUGAAGAGACUAAUCCUAUCCGCAAAAUUAAAAGUUAAGAGUUGAAAAGAUCUGACCAAAUGGGUAGCAAUCCAAUAGACAAGAAUGUCAAUAGAAACCCGGAAUUCCCUUGGACAUUUAAAAGCAAGCAACACACAAAUGCACAAUUAUAUUAUCUUGAUGAGCAAAGACAUCAAAUAAAGAUAGCCACAUCCAAGCUUUAUCCAAUCCAUGAUCUUCUCCAAAAUUAGCCCAUGUAGUAGAUGAAUUCCACAAGUCACAGGUUCAAAAUAGCAGUUUCACAAUGAUCAUGUUGCAGAUGAACUCAGAGGGAUCUUGAAUGAUGUGUUAGAUGAAGUUUCAA